AACGUAGGAGACAAACGUUAUCCGGAGUUACUGGGCGUAAAGGGCGUGUAGGCGGUCUGUUAAGUCUGGCGUGAAAGCCCUCGGCUAAACCGGGAGAGGUCGUUGGAUACUGGCAGACUAGAGGACGGUAGAGGCGUGUGGAAUUCCGGGUGUAGUGGUGAAAUGCGUAGAGAUCCGGAGGAACACCAGUGGCGAAGGCGACAGCGCUGGGCCGUACCUGACGCUAAAGCGCGACAGCAUGGGGAGCAAACGGG
rnacentral:rRNA from 1 species